rnacentral:rRNA from 1 species
UACGUAGGGGGCGAGCGUUGUCCGGAAUUAUUGGGCGUAAAGGGCUCGUAGGCGGUUUGUCGCGUCGGGAGUGAAAACCCAGGGCUUAACUCUGGGCUUGCUUUCGAUACGGGCAGACUAGAGGUAUGCAGGGGAGAACGGAAUUCCUGGUGUAGCGGUGAAAUGCGUAGAUAUCUGGAGGAAUACCGGUGGCGAAGGCGGCAUCCUGGACCGGCAUUGACGCUGAUGAGCGAAAGCUAGGGGAGCAAACGGG